CCGGGACCACACCCAGCGCCCGCGCGGCCCGCGCUUUCCCCAGCUCAGCGGGAGUUUGCCGCGUGAACCGCUGAAAGGGCCGACGGAUGAAUGAGCCUCCCACCGGGCUGGGGGGCCCCGGGGCUCCGGGGCCCCGCGGGCCUGAGAAUCUCGCGGACGCUCCCCGCAGCCUGGGGCGCGCCGGGUCCUUUCCGCGAGACGUGGGGCGCGGGGCUCCCCUGGCUCCUGGCUCCCGGAAUCCCGCGGCGACUGCGGGGGCGAGCGGAAGCCGGGGCGGCGCUCCCGAGAACCGCCCGGUGGCGGAGAACCUGGACUGUGAGCCCUGGGUCAGAGAGAAAGUGCUCUUUCUUCUGCACCCAGAAAGAUGGUUGGGGACUCCAGGGGACCCUGCGCGGGAAGAAGCGGCCGGUGAGGAGGACUUCUUCCAGGCGGCCGGAGACGACCGGGAACCCUACUGCCCUUCCCUCUUUCCGGGAAAAAAGGGAAUUUCUGGCAGCCGUGUAGACGCUCCGUUCGGAGCCCCGCCGCAGGACCCCGCAGCCCCGCCCAAGUCCGUGCUCGUGCGGAUCGUGGACUAUCAGGUAACAGAGGAAGUCCUGUGGACCGCCUGGACGCAGGGCCGCAUGACCAGGCGCACGGAGGAGCACUCCAUGACCGCGAUCACGUUUCGCACCAACAGGGAAUGAAGCCGGCUCUGGGGCGCCAGGCCCCCCGAGAACCCCGGGCUCUCUCCCCUUGGGGGGAGGCACCCCGCGUCCACGCUGCGGAGAGGUCACUUCGCGGUCCCCGAGGACUUGAUUGCCCGAGGAUAUGAAACAGGAAAGGAGAGCCUGAGGAAUGUUGCGAGCAGGUGGUUGAGCAAUAAUCCUUAAAAGAAAAAUUCUCUCCUGGGAACGCCAGCCGGUAGUUAUCCAAAGGGAGGACUUUUUAAAAGACUGGGGCAGCGCUUCUGGGAGGCGGAUGUCACUCCAUACAGAAUGAAGAACAGUGAGCAACAUAAUACCUCCUUUGUGUAUUAAAUACUGUGACGGCCUGGGGACCUAAGUCAUUGAGAAGAGGGGCAGGAAAGGUAUUUUCAGAUUGGUAAAAUGUGAGCCUUUUUAAAUAAGAAAAUGCUUUUAUUAAGUCUCAUUUUGCAAUACAUCUCAAUUGAUCUCUUUGCUGCCUCCGUGAUCUAAGAACUAAAAUCAGAAGUGCAGUUUGAGGUCUGCUCUCUAAAGGGGAUGGGAGUAGGUGAGGAGAGCGGCUUCUUUUAAAGCUGAAAAAGAAAGUAAAAAGAAAUGGGAAAAUUGAAGUAGCAAGUAAACAAAAUAUUUUGCUUUUACUUCUGAUGUGCACAUUAUUCUGUUUUAUUUCAUCAAGUGUUAGGGGAAAAAAAAAAACAAAACUAGGAAAAGAAGAGGGAGAACAGAAGACCCAGCUUUGAAGGUGCUCUCCGAGUUCUGCCUGACUCAUCUUUUCUCUGCACUGCUUCCACUCGAGGGCUCUAUUCCCGAGAUUCCUCUGGGGACCAGCCUGGAGUGACACCUGCAGACCGUCUCAGGAAGCUUAGGAAGUGAAAUCUAAUUUCUUACGUCAAAAAGAAACUAAAGUGUACCUAAGAAGACAUGAAGUUGAAGAGGGAAGAUACGGUUACCACAAUCCUAGGACCUCCAAAGAGCUUCACAUUUUCAUCAAUCAAGGUUAAGUCUCAGGAAUUGAGUGCCUUGUUAAUCAAACCAUUUUCCAAGCAACACUGACACAAUGCCAUUAACAACAGAAGCAUUCAUUACUGUUUUGCCUACAAGGGAAUUCAUUAAUCAGAGUAGGAAAACACAUACACAGUAUUAAACCAGUUCUGGGCUGAUCACGACAAACUGUCAAGAAAAGAUUUUAUAGAGGAACAAAAUUAUUGGUGAUCAUGCCUUCUAAGAAGAAGUGACACUUGAAUGGACCUUUAAAAAUUUCCAGAAU